rnacentral:rRNA from 1 species
GUGGGGAAUUUUGGACAAUGGGCGCAAUCCUGAUCCAGCAAUGCCGCGUGCAGGAAGAAGGCCUUCGGGUUGUAAACUGCUUUUGUACGGAACGAAACGGUCCUGGCUAAUAUCCGGGGCUAAUGACGGUACCGUAAGAAUAAGCACCGGCUAACUACGUGCCAGCAGCCGCGGUAAUACGUAGGGUGCGAGCGUUAAUCGGAAUUACUGGGCGUAAAGCGUGCGCAGGCGGUGCUGUAAGACAGGCGUGAAAUCCCCGGGCUCAACCUGGGAAUUGCGCUUGUGACUGCAGUGCUGGAGUGCGGCAGAGGGGGAUGGAAUUCCGCGUGUAGCAGUGAAAUGCGUAGAUAUGCGGAGGAACACCGAUGGCGAAGGCAAUCCCCUGGGCCUGCACUGACGCUCAUGCACGAAAGCGUGGGGAGCAAACAGGAUUAGAAACCCGGGUAGUCC